rnacentral:rRNA from 1 species
GCCUUGCCCUAAACAAAAGUAGCAAAGUAUGUCUGCUACUCGCCCGGGAACUACGAGCAAAAGCUUAAAACCCAAAGGACUUGGCGGUGCUUUAGACCCACCUAGAGGAGCCUGUUCUGGAACCGAUAACCCCCGUUCAACCUCACCCUCUCUUGUUCCACCCGCCUAUAUACCGCCGUCGUCAGCUUACCCUGCAAAGGACACACAGUAAGCAUAACUGGCAUAGCCCAAAACGUCAGGUCGAGGUGUAGCGUAUGAGAGGGGAAGAAAUGGGCUACAUUCCCUGACACAGUGUACACGAACGAUGUGAUGAAAUAAACAUCUAAAGGAGGAUUUAGCAGUAAGAAGGAAAGCAGAGCGUUCCUCUGAAAAUGGCCCUGAAGCGCGC